AUAGCGUAUUCACAAGUGUAGAUUUCCCUGAACCGCUUUCCCCUAAUACUAAUACGUUGAAAUUAAAACCUUGACGAACACAACGACGAUGCCAUUGAUUAGGAAGACUAGCGAAUCCAACGUAUCCGUUCAACUGACGCUGGAUUAUACUAACGUGCGGAUUGAACUAAAUAUUAGUAAAGGAAUUUUAAAUAAUUGAUUACCUCUUGUUCAGAAUUAUCCUGAAUGGGUUUUUCUUCAUUCUUGUUUUCUGAAAUGGCUGCCUCAACAUUUAUUUGCGUUACAUUAUCUGUAGAUGUGAAAGAAUCAACGUCGGAACCCCUGCUUCUAGUGGAAUCAUCUUUAACUGUAGGCAUACCAUCCGCGAGUACCAUUGACGCCAUGUCAGAAAUUAUCGAAAACCCCCGUGUUGGUGGUUAUGUAUGUGAUGAAGAGUGUAGCUAGGAGCUCGAGCAUGAACAUCUAUUUGCUCAAGUAGGAAAUUAAACUUAACCAAUUUUUUUCUUAAUUAUGUUUCACGAAAUUAUAGAGCUUUUUUGAAAUUUCUUAAUUCACUGUCGCGUCGAAUUUAGGUCCUUAACCUCGAAAUAUACACGGCUGGGAUGCAUUAAAUAAAAAGAUACUAAACAUUGUUAUUCCAUUGUU